GACGAACCGUGCGAACGUUAUUCGGAAUCACUGGGCUUAAAGCGCGUGUAGGCGGCCCGGCACGUCCGUCGCUGAAAUCCCCCGGCUCAACCGGGGAAGUGGCGUGGAUACGACCGGGCUGGAGGGGGGUAGGGGGAGCCGGAACUUCCGGUGGAGCGGUGAAAUGCGUAGAGAUCGGGAGGAACAUCAGUGGCGAAGGCGGCCAUCUGGGACAACACUGACGCUGAAGCACGAAAACGUGGGGAGCAAACAGG
rnacentral:rRNA from 1 species